UCGCAUACGAGCUCGGAUCCUCCACCAGAAAUAGUGGAGAGGUUGGACAGGACCGACGAGCAGAUGAGGGCAUUCACCGCCCAGUACCAGCGGAGGAACGAUCUCAGGGAGAGGGAGCUCGAUAUGCAGCUCCUGAACACGGAUACGACGCAGAUGACGGACGCACAACGUGAAUUGCACGCGUCCAUGGUCGCCGACGUGCUCAGGCGUCGUGGUCUAUCCUAG
rnacentral:lncRNA from 1 species